AUUGAACGCUGGCGGCAGGCCUAACACAUGCAAGUCGAACGAGUGGCGGACGGGUUAGUAAUGUCUGGGAAACUGCCUGAUGGAGGGGGAUAACUACUGGAAAAGGUAGCUUAUACAGCCUACCAUCGGAUGUGCCCAGCUGGGAUGAGCUAGUAGGUGGGGUAAAGGCUCACCUAGGCGACGAUCCCUAGCUGGUCUGAGAGGAUGCCCAGCAACACUGGAACUGAGACACGGUCCAGACUCCUACGGGAGGCAGCAGUGGGGAAUAUUGCACAAGGGGAGCAAGCCUGAUGCAGCCAUGCCGCGUGUAUGAAGAAGGCCUGCGGGUUGUAAAGUACUUUCAGCGGGGAGGCGUUACCCGCAGAAGAAGCACCGGCUAACUCCGUGCCAGCCGCCGCGGUAAUUC
rnacentral:rRNA from 1 species